GAUGAACGCUGACAGAAUGCUUAACACAUGCAAGUCGUAGGCGAAGCUGUGCUUGCACAGCCUAGCCAAGGCGGACGGGUGAGUAACGCGUAAGGAACUUGCCCUGCAGUCAGGGAUAACAGACGGAAACGACUGAUAAGACCUGGUAAAGUCAGGCGGACUCAUGUCCAGCCUGAUGAAAAGAGAUGCUGCAGGGGAGCCUUGCGUCCUAUUAGCUUGUUGGUGGGGUAACGGCCCACCAAGGCGAUGAUAGGUAGCCGGCCUGAGAGGGUGGACGGCCACACGGGGACUGGGAGACGGCCCUUACUCCUUCGGGCGGCAGCCGUGGGGAAUAUUGGACAAUGGGGGCAACCCUGAUCCAGCAAUUCGGUGUGCACGAUGAAUGUUUUCGGAUUGUAAAGUGCUUGCAGCAGGGAAGAAAAAAAUGCCGGUCCCUGCAGAAGAAGCGACGGCUACUUACGU
rnacentral:rRNA from 1 species